rnacentral:lncRNA from 1 species
CUCAAACAGUGCCAAACAUGGCACAUGCUUCCUGUUUGAGGACAAACUUCCACCCACCCAUUUAUCAAGCCUCAUACUUUGGGAUGUUCUCAAUCGGACUUUCCCCGAAAUGGACGUGGCUGCUUGUGCUUCACUACGCCUUUAGCCUGCUUAACCGAUCUCACCCCGAGAUCUUCCUGGCCAGGACCCGACUUCCUCUAAGCCUCCUCAUCCUCCCCAUCCCAGUGUGGGCUUACUGAUAGACCACCUGUGACGACCUCACCUCCCUGCCUACCUUGGCCCCUGGGGUCCUACCAGCUGCGCUCCACCAGGGCUAGAGCUGCCAACCCCAAAGCCUGUUCCACUGGAGUUUUUUUUUCUUCCCAACCUUCAGGUUCAAGGGGUACAUGUGCAGUCCCUUUCAGGAAGCUACUCCGUGAAACCCCCAUGGCUGUGAGAAGUCUUUGACUGGAGGACUCUCACAUCAUAUGCUACCUUUGCCAGUCCCGCCCACACCUGCGAAUCAGCUGCCAGCACUGCACCUGUGAUUUCUAAAUUGCCAUCUCCUGAUCUCUACGUAACCUCCGGUUGCACAUUUCCAGUUCCUUACCGGAUCUACCCCACAAAGGUCCAUAUGUUCCUCAACGUCUCCAAGACUUCAUCUAAUUGUCCUGCCUGCCACCCCCAUCUCUCCUUUAGCACUUCUAUUUCUUAUUUCCUAAGUCAAUUGAUAGGAUUGCAAGAAAGUUUGGGGUUAUCUUGGAAUACUUCCCGACUCACAACUCCUGCGCAGAUGGGGGAUGCAUUACAGCCCUGUGUCUGCUCCGGACGGGAGCUGAGCUCAUCUGCUAGACUUCAUGGACUUGAACCUGGACUGCUUUGGAGUUCAUUCAUGUUCUACCCACACUUGGAUAACAGCUCAGAAUAAGCACAGAAGCUUUCCAUUUUUUUGUUUUGAAUAAAUAUGGGAAAGUAUAAAGGGUAAUGGGAAAUAAAAUAAAAAUAUGGGAAAGUAUAAAGGAUAAUGUAACAAAAACCCAUAUUCCUAGAAAUGGUAACACCUAGAAAUAUUAACUUUUCAAAUUUUGUCCUAUUUGCUUGUGGUAUUUUAAUUUGAGAAAGUAUAAAGGAUGAUGUAACAAAAACCUAUAUUCCUAGAAAUGUUAACACCUAGAAAUAUUAACUUUUCAAAUUUUGUCAUAUGUGCUUGAAGUAUUUUUUUAAGGCAAUAAAGCAUUAGAGUUAAAACUAAAAUCCUCUUUAGCCUCCAACCCUAGUGUUCCCAGUCCGCACCCCAAGGGCCACUAUCAUCAUAGGAUGGUGUAUAGCUAUGCGGUCCGUUCAUUUCUUUUAUUUCUUUCUACUGAUAUGAAAUUUAUUUAUUGCAUUUCUAGUCUAUUAGUGUUAAUAAAGUUUUAAUGUGUAUACUUAUAUAUUUUUUCAAAACUUAAAAUUCACCAAUGUCUAUAUUCUCUGUAACAUGGCAAUAUAGUUACAUUCUGUGCUAUUUUCAAACACUCUCCUUAUCUGAACACCAUGUUAACACCUACGUCUCAGUUCAAGCUUAUUUUAAUCACAACAUUUUUUCUCUUUCUUUUCUUCUUUUCUUUUUUGUCUUCCUCUUUCUGUUACUGCUUUAGGAUUUAUUAAUUAUGAUAGGAUUGCAAGGACAUUUGGGGUUAUCUUGGAAUACUUCCCGACUCACAACUCUGUUGGAAGAAAUACUAGAAUCCUGUUUCUGCCGCAUUUGUGUCUUGAUCCUUGAAACUUAUGCCCUCUGUUCCUCAAGGACCUAAAACAGAAACACCACUCGACCCAGCAAUCCCAUUACUGGGUAUAUACCAAAAGGAGUAGAAAUUGUUCUAUCAUAAAGACACAUGCACACAUAUGUUCAUUGCAGCACUAUUUACAACAGCAAAGACAUGGAAUCGACCUAAAUGCCCAUCAGUGGUAGACUGGAUAAAGAAAAUGUUGUACAUAUACAACAUGGAAUACUACGCAGCCAGGAAAAAUGACAAGAUUAUGCCCUUUGCAGGAACAUGGGUGGAGCUGGAGGCAUUAUCCUUAGCAAACUAACAGAGGAAUAGAAAACUAAAUACUGCAUGUUCUCACUUACAAAUGCAAGCAAAAUGAUGAGAACACAUGGACACAAAGAGGGAAACAACACACACUGGGGUUUUUUCAGAGGGUGAAGUGUAGGAGGGAGAGGAUGGGGAAAAAUAAUAACUAAUGAGUACAAGGCUUAAUACCUGGGUGAUGAAAUAAUCUGUACGACAAACCCCCGUGACACAAGCUUACCUAUAUAACAGACCUGCACAUGUACGCCUGA